rnacentral:rRNA from 1 species
ACGGAAGGCAGCAGCAGGGAAUUUUGCGCAAUGGGCGAAAGCCUGACGCAGCAACGCCGCGUGGGGGAUGAAGGCCUUCGGGUUGUAAACCCCUUUAGGGAGGGACGAAAUUGACGGUACCUCCAGAAUAAGCCCCGGCCAACUACGUGCCAGCAGCCGCGGUGAUACGUAGGGGGCGAGCGUUGUCCGGAAUCAUUGGGCGUAAAGAGCUCGUAGGCGGCUUAGUAAGUCGGUCGUGAAAGCCCGAGGCUCAACUUCGGGACUGCGGUCGAUACUGCUAUAGCUAGAGUUUGGUAGAGGAGAACGGAAUUCCCGGUGUAGCGGUGGAAUGCGCAGAUAUCGGGAGGAACACCUGUAGCGAAGGCGGUUCUCUGGGCCAAUACUGACGCUGAGGAGCGAAAGCGUGGGGAGCGAACAGGAUUAGAUACCCUGGUA